rnacentral:rRNA from 1 species
AUGCAAGGGCGAAACAUUUUGGAUGGUGUUGUUGUCCUUCAUGAAACGGUCCAUGAGCUUCAUCAUAAAAAAUUGAAUGGAGUCAUUUUUAAAAUCGACUUCGAGAAAGCUUAUGAUAAAGUAAAGUGGCCCUUUUUGUUACAAACAUUACGUAUGAAAGGGUUUUCUGAUACUUGGUGUCGAUGGGUUGAGAGCUUUGUGUCCGGAGGUAGCGUAGCUAUUUAG